rnacentral:rRNA from 1 species
UACGUAGGGUGCAAGCGUUGCCCGGAUUUAUUGGGCGUAAAGGGCGCGUAGGCGGCUCUGCACGUCCGUUGUGAAAUCGCCCGGCUCAACUGGGCGGGGUCAGCGGAUACGGCAGAGCUUGAGCAAGCUAGGGGGCAAUGGAAUUCCCGGUGUAGUGGUGGAAUGCGUAGAUAUCGGGAGGAACACCAGUGGCGAAGGCGACUACCUGGCCUGUUCUUGACGCUGAGGCGCGAAAGCUAGGGGAGCAAACGGG